rnacentral:rRNA from 1 species
AGCGAACGCUGGCGGCAGGCCUAACACAUGCAAGUCGAGCGCCCCGCAAGGGGAGCGGCAGACGGGAGAGUAACACGUGGGAAUGUACCCUUCAGUUCGGAACAACUGAGGGAAACUUCAGCUAAUACCGUAUACGCCCUACGGGGGAAAGAUUUAUCGGAAUUGGAUGAGCCCGCGUUGGAUUAGCUAGUUGGUGAGGUAACGGCUCACCAAGGCGACGAUCCAUAGCUGGUCUGAGAGGAUGAUCAGCCACACUGGGACUGAGACACGGCCCAGACUCCUACGGGAGGCAGCAGUGGGGAAUAUUGGACAAUAGGGGAAACCCUGAUCCAGCAAUGCCGCGUGAGUGAUGAAGGUCUACGGAUUGUAAAGCUCUUUUGGCAGGGACAAUGAUGACGGUACCUGCAGAAUAAGCUCCGGCUAACUUCGUGCCAGCAGCCGCCGUAAUAC